UAUUCCCCACUGCUGCCUCCCGUAGGAGUCUGGGCCGUGUCUCAGUCCCAAUGUGGCCGUUCUACCUCUCAGUACGGCUACCGAUCGUCGCUUUGGUGGGCCGUUACCUCACCAACUGGCUAAUCGGACGCGAGCCCAUCUUCAAACAAUAAAUCUUUGAUAGCUUCUCCAUGCGGAAAUACUAUCUUAUGGGGUAUUAGUGGAAGUUUCCCUCCAUUAUUCCCCGCUUGAAGGUAGGUUGCUCACGUGUUACUCACCCGUCCGCCACUAAGAUAAAGAAGCAAGCUCCUUUAUCUCCGUUCGACUUGCAUGUGUUAAGCGUGCCGCCAGCGUUCAUCCUGAGCCAA
rnacentral:rRNA from 1 species